CUGUGUCCUAAUGUAAACUCUUUACGUUUUCGGGUCCACACACCAGCUCCAGCUAAUACUGGGCCAGUAUGGCGCGGGUCCAAACAAACAGCGGUUCUGAAGAAGCACGUAGCGCAGCUGCACGAUUCUGCCUGCAGUUCCGCGACUUUUUAGCUGCAGUGUGGGCUGGUUCAGCAUGACAGAGGGCAGCAGUACUCAAACUUUAUUCACCCUGCUGUCGACAGGCUAAGGGCGGGGAACAUUGCGGACAAAAUUUUGGAAGAUGUCUCUACUCCUAAAAUGAAAAAAUCUCAAUGUGCAUUGCAUGGGCAAUUAGGUGAGUUAAAACUUAUACAAACCUUAUAUUGUGCAAUAACAUAAACUGUAUAAAGAACAAGCCUGUAUUGCAUAUAAACAUGUACUGUAUAAAGAAGCAAGCCUGUAUCAUAUAAACAAUAUAAAGGAACAAAUAUAUAACACUUCCACACAUCCUGCAUAAACUAUGAAGGGAAAAGAACAGAAAACAAAAAAAUCCCAAUAAAACAGAAAUUUAUAACAACAAAAAAGAAUGAAAUGGUGCAGGAUGAUGCAGGCAUAACAAACACGAUGGGAGGAUUUAAUUAAAGCUGUGUGGGAAGGCAGUGUAUUGGAAAUGCAAGUCUUGAAUGUGCUGGGUUAUUGGCCAGGGAGACAGUGGAUUU